UACGGGGGGGGCAAGCGUUGUUCGGAAUUACUGGGCGUAAAGGGUGCGUAGGCGGUCCGCUAAGUUGGAUGUGAAAACUCUGGGCUUAACCCAGAGCCUGCAUUCAAAACUGACGGGCUAGAGUUCUGGAGGGGGUAGCGGAAUUCCUGGUGUAGCGGUGAAAUGCGUAGAUAUCAGGAGGAACACCCGUGGCGAAGGCGGCCAUCUGGACCAGUACUGACGCUGAGGCACGAAAGCGUGGGGAGCAAACAGG
rnacentral:rRNA from 1 species